rnacentral:misc_RNA from 1 species
GAUGAAGAACGCAGCGAAAUGCGAUAAGUAAUGUGAAUUGCAGAAUUCAGUGAAUCAUCGAAUCUUUGAACGCACCUUGCACCCUUUGGCUAUUCCGAAGGGUAUGCCUGUUUGAGUAUCAUGAACACCUCAACUCUCAUGGUUUGCCAUGAUGAGCUUGGACUUUGGGGGUCUUGCUGGCCUGUGGUCAGCUCCUCUCAAAUGGAUUAGCUUGCCAGUGUUUGGUGGCAUCACAGGUGUGAUAACUAUCUACGCUUGUGGUUUUCCACCAGGUAACCUUCAGCAAUGGGGGUUCGCUGGGGCUCAUAAAUGUCUCUCCUCAGUGAGGACAGCUCUUUGAACGUUUGAUCUCAAAUCAGGUAGGACUACCCGCUGAACUUAAGCAUAUCAAUAAGCGGAGGA